CCGGCGCAGCCGCUCCUCGGUGAGCGACAGGCAGAUGAGCCCACGCCCAUGGAGGGCCAUGAAGUUGACGGCCUCCGGGGUCACCUUCUCGGCGGCCAUCA
rnacentral:antisense_RNA from 1 species